rnacentral:rRNA from 1 species
ACUAAGCGUACACGGUGGAUGCCCUGGCAGUCAGAGGCGAUGAAGGACGUGCUAAUCUGCGAUAAGCGUCGGUAAGGUGAUAUGAACCGUUAUAACCGGCGAUUUCCGAAUGGGGAAACCCAGUGUGWUUCGWYACACUAUCAUUAACUGAAUCCAUAGGUUAAUGAGGCGAACCGGGGGAACUGAAACAUCUAAGUACCCCGAGGAAAAGAAAUCAACCGAGAUUCCCCCAGUAGCGGCGAGCGAACGGGGAGSAGCCCAGAGCCUGAAUCAGURUGUGUGUUAGUGGAAGCGUCUGGAAAGGCGCGCGAUACAGGGUGACAGCCCCGUACACAAAAAUGCACAURYUGUGAGCUCGAUGAGUAGGGCGGGACACGUGGUAUCCUGUCUGAAUAUGGGGGGACCAUCCUCCAAGGCUAAAUACUCCUGACUGACCGAUAGUGAACCAGUACCGUGAGGGAAAGGCGAAAAGAACCCCGGCGAGGGGAGUGAAAAAGAACCUGAAACCGUGUACGUACAAGCAGUGGGAGCACGCUUAGGCGUGUGACUGCGUACCUUUUGUAUAAUGGGUCAGCGACUUAUAUUCUGUAGCAAGGUUAACCGAAUAGGGGAGCCGAAGGGAAACCGAGUCUUAACUGGGCGUUAAGUUGCAGGGUAUAGACCCGAAACCCGGUGAUCUAGCCAUGGGCAGGUUGAAGGUUGGGUAACACUAACUGGAGGACCGAACCGACUAAUGUUGAAAAAUUAGCGGAUGACUUGUGGCUGGGGGUGAAAGGCCAAUCAAACCGGGAGAUAGCUGGUUCUCCCCGAAAGCUAUUUAGGUAGCGCCUCGUGAAYUCAUCUCCGGGGGUAGAGCACUGUUUCGGCAAGGGGGUCAUCCCGACUUACCAACCCGAUGCAAACUGCGAAUACCGGAGAAUGUUAUCACGGGAGACACACGGCGGGUGCUAACGUCCGUCGUGAAGAGGGAAACAACCCAGACCGCCAGCUAAGGUCCCAAAGUCAUGGUUAAGUGGGAAACGAUGUGGGAAGGCCCAGACAGCCAGGAUGUUGGCUUAGAAGCAGCCAUCAUUUAAAGAAAGCGUAAUAGCUCACUGGUCGAGUCGGCCUGCGCGGAAGAUGUAACGGGGCUAAACCAUGCACCGAAGCUGCGGCAGCGACACUAUGYGUUGUUGGGUAGGGGAGCGUUCUGUAAGCCUGYGAAGGUGURCUGUGAGGYAUGCUGGAGGUAUCAGAAGUGCGAAUGCUGACAUAAGUAACGAUAAAGCGGGUGAAAAGCCCGCUCGCCGGAAGACCAAGGGUUCCUGUCCAACGUUAAUCGGGGCAGGGUGAGUCGACCCCUAAGGCGAGGCCGAAAGGCGUAGUCGAUGGGAAACAGGUUAAUAUUCCUGUACUUGGUGUUACUGCGAAGGGGGGACGGAGAAGGCUAUGUUGGCCGGGCGACGGUUGUCCCGGUUUAAGCGUGUAGGCUGGUUUUCCAGGCAAAUCCGGAAAAUCAAGGCUGAGGCGUGAUGACGAGGCACUACGGUGCUGAAGCAACAAAUGCCCUGCUUCCAGGAAAAGCCUCUAAGCAUCAGGUAACAUCAAAUCGUACCCCAAACCGACACAGGUGGUCAGGUAGAGAAUACCAAGGCGCUUGAGAGAACUCGGGUGAAGGAACUAGGCAAAAUGGUGCCGUAACUUCGGGAGAAGGCACGCUGAUAUGUAGGUGAAGUCCCUUGCGGAUGGAGCUGAAAUCAGUCGAAGAUACCAGCUGGCUGCAACUGUUUAUUAAAAACACAGCACUGUGCAAACACGAAAGUGGACGUAUACGGUGUGACGCCUGCCCGGUGCCGGAAGGUUAAUUGAUGGGGUCAGCGCAAGCGAAGCUCUUGAUCGAAGCCCCGGUAAACGGCGGCCGUAACUAUAACGGUCCUAAGGUAGCGAAAUUCCUUGUCGGGUAAGUUCCGACCUGCACGAAUGGCGUAAUGAUGGCCAGGCUGUCUCCACCCGAGACUCAGUGAAAUUGAACUCGCUGUGAAGAUGCAGUGUACCCGCGGCAAGACGGAAAGACCCCGUGAACCUUUACUAUAGCUUGACACUGAACAUUGAGCCUUGAUGUGUAGGAUAGGUGGGAGGCUUGGAAGUGUGGACGCCAGUCUGCAUGGAGCCGACCUUGAAAUACCACCCUUUAAUGUUUGAUGUUCUAACGUUGACCCGUAAUCCGGGUUGCGGACAGUGUCUGGUGGGUAGUUUGACUGGGGCGGUCUCCUCCUAAAGAGUAACGGAGGAGCACGAAGGUUGGCUAAUCCUGGUCGGACAUCAGGAGGUUAGUGCAAUGGCAUAAGCCAGCUUGACUGCGAGCGUGACGGCGCGAGCAGGUGCGAAAGCAGGUCAUAGUGAUCCGGUGGUUCUGAAUGGAAGGGCCAUCGCUCAACGGAUAAAAGGUACUCCGGGGAUAACAGGCUGAUACCGCCCAAGAGUUCAUAUCGACGGCGGUGUUUGGCACCUCGAUGUCGGCUCAUCACAUCCUGGGGCUGAAGUAGGUCCCAAGGGUAUGGCUGUUCGCCAUUUAAAGUGGUACGCGAGCUGGGUUUAGAACGUCGUGAGACAGUUCGGUCCCUAUCUGCCGUGGGCGCUGGAGAACUGAGGGGGGCUGCUCCUAGUACGAGAGGACCGGAGUGGACGCAUCACUGGUGUUCGGGUUGUCAUGCCAAUGGCACUGCCCGGUAGCUAAAUGCGGAAGAGAUAAGUGCUGAAAGCAUCUAAGCACGAAACUUGCCCCGAGAUGAGUUCUCCCUGACCCUUUAAGGGUCCUGAAGGAACGUUGAAGACGACGACGUUGAUAGGCCGGGUGUGUAAGCGCAGCGAUGCGUUGAGCUAACCGGUACUAAUGAACCGUGAGGCUUAACC